rnacentral:piRNA from 1 species
UACCUCUAUAUUGUGUGUAGGAAGUGCUGU